rnacentral:lncRNA from 1 species
UUUUUUUUGCUUUUUGAGUGUGUUUUUGUUGUUGUGCAUGAACUGAAGUUUUGUCAUGAAUGGUUACCGUUGUUUUUCUAUUGCUCAACAGAAAUGAUUGUAAAAUAGCAAAAACAGGCCGUCAUACUUACAAACUUUGAAAACAAGUUCGAGAACAAUUGGUACUUAGAUUGUGCUAACUUUCUUCUGAUAAUUUUACUGAUGAUUUUAGAAACACAAGUAGAAUACAAGAAUAUAGUAGCUGAAAUACAUUUUCUUAUAUAAGAGGCUUUCCAGCGUAAUGUAUAUAUCUAUUUCCACUUUAAAACGGAAAUCGAUUGUAUAAACUCAAUAAAGUUGUUUAAUACAUUAUUUGUUUGAAGGACUGCAAUAUCAGUAGCUAUUGACAGAUAUUAAAAAGGCAUAUAAAUUAACUGAAUCUCGUCUUGAACAUUUCAAUAGAGCAUUAAAGGCUUUAGCAAUGUUGCCAGGUAUAACGUCCCUUAUGAUUCAAGUGUUUACUCUGGAAUUACCAUUUUUAUUAAUCCAUCAAGG